rnacentral:lncRNA from 1 species
AAGUUUUCAAAUAUUAUAGAAUAGAAAAGUCGGUUUCAAACAUAACAAAGUUGGGAGAAAGGUAAUAAAGUCUUUUUAAUAUAAGAUAAUCUCUCGUAUUUCAUAUCCCAUCUUCACCAAUUUCUGAAUUAUGUUGAAUUAUACGAAAUAUAAAAAUUACUGUAUACAUAAAUAUUGGACAUUUGUAGUAAUGAUUUAAAUGAUUUGACAAAUUUCGACGUAUUCGACGAAGUGAUGUAUUGUUGUGAUGUCACAAUUAAUUAACAAUAGCUUCAAAUUGUUUCUUUUUCUAUUGUUGGUAGCCAAGACAAAGAUUUCUCUGAAAAUUUUUAUUGUUUUUCUCUUCAUUUUGAAGUCUUUCGACAGAAUUUUGGUUUCGAAAAGAAGUUUAAUUACAAACUUACAGGAAUAAGAUUGUAUCAAAUACAUGCAAUGUCCAGCGAAAUCAUGAAUAUCAUUCCUGGUUGAUGCUGCUUCAAAAUCGAAAUUUCUUUUGACAUUUCUUCCUGGUGACACAAGAAAGAAGAAUUGGGAUAAGUAGCACUUUCUUUACUUUUAAUAUCGAUAAUAAUUAAACGGUUAUAUCAAACUUUUGUAAAUUUGAAUUAUAUUUUAAUAAUAUUUUACGUUAUAAUUUUACAAAUAAAUAUACUCAAUACAUUAUUUAAUAACUACCUCAAAUUAUCUUCUUUCGUAAAGUACGUUUGUAGAAUGAAUGUUUCGUAUAUAUUAGGCUAAAUAUAUCAGGGAAACAGUUAAUAUAAUUCAACUCACUUUCCAGAUCUUCAACUGAUUGUAGAGAGAUGACAAUAUGGGAAAUUAACGCCCAAAAUCACUAAUACAUACUCCUUACAUUAACGCGAAGGUGAAGCAAUAUCUUUCUCAAUUAAACACAUUUAUAAAUGUUCAACACACAAAAUAUCCAACAAAUUUCAAUGAAGGAAAACAAAGAAAAAACUUAUUCCUUCUUCAACUAUUCCUACAGUACAUGCAGCAAUUUAGUAAUAAUUUAGCCUACACUUCACACAAUCUCAAUAUACAAGAGUUUAAAUACAGUUUACAUGCAGUGUUAAAUGUUUGACAAAUUUAUAUGAUAGGUUAAUUUGUAAUAAAACAGCUUAAUUUGCAUUUUUACAUAGAUUAAAUAGGAAUGUGUUCCGUUUCUAUUUAACCCAUAUUUAACUACGGUAUUAAAAAUUUAAAAAGAAAUAUACUGGUUCUACAGUUUUACAUCUGUAUCUAGAAUUUAAUCGGAUAAUUGUUACUGAAUGCCAGAAUGGUAUAAUUAUUUUCAUCUGUAAAGAGUAAAGAAUUAAAAUAAUACAUCCGUUUCUGGACCGAAGACUAAAUGGCAGAAGCUUAUGAGUAAGCUAUCGAUUUCUGAAAGGAUAUUGGAAGAAAGGAAGAGUGAUGCUUGAUGAAGGAAUAAUUAAGAAAGUUUUAAUGCUGAUUACAGAAUUUCCUGGAUAGAAGAAACUUAAUAAUUAUCACUGCAAAUAAGUUUGUUUCAUUAUCUAAUAAUAACUUGUAUAAGCUUAUUUAUAACCACGAAUACAUUUUAUAAAUUUAGAUAAAGAUAAUAUUAAGAAGUAUGAAUUUAUAAUAAGAAAGAUUUUCGUCGUUUAAGUAUAGAAGUAUAAAUUUGUGUAAAUAAAUAAUUAUUUAAUGCUUAUAUAUUAGGCCGUUGAAUAAGUAAUGCCUCCUUGUAAAUGGUUCGCGCAGAAGUUGCUUAGCAAGCAAUUAAAAAAAUAAUUCUUUGCUUCUUUAGUUACAUUCUAAUGCAUGGUAGAAUAUGAAACGUGUUUUAGUUGAAAUUUCAUUGUUUAAAAAGUAACAUCCAGUUAAGGAUGAUACUUUACUUUUUCAAUUAUGUUGGAGCGAAUGAAACAACGAUCACUUACCAAAUUG